rnacentral:rRNA from 1 species
UUUUAUGAGAGUUUGAUCCUGGCUCAGGACGAACGCUGGCGGCGUGCCUAAUACAUGCAAGUCGAACGCUUCUUUUUCCACCGGAGCUUGCUCCACCGGAAAAAGAGGAGUGGCGAACGGGUGAGUAACACGUGGGUAACCUGCCCAUCAGAAGGGGAUAACACUUGGAAACAGGUGCUAAUACCGUAUAACAAUUGAAACCGCAUGGUUUUGAUUUGAAAGGCGCUUUCGGGUGUCGCUGAUGGAUGGACCCGCGGUGCAUUAGCUAGUUGGUGAGGUAACGGCUCACCAAGGCGACGAUGCAUAGCCGACCUGAGAGGGUGAUCGGCCACAUUGGGACUGAGACACGGCCCAAACUCCUACGGGAGGCAGCAGUAGGGAAUCUUCGGCAAUGGACGAAAGUCUGACCGAGCAACGCCGCGUGAGUGAAGAAGGUUUUCGGAUCGUAAAACUCUGUUGUUAGAGAAGAACAAGGAUGAGAGUAACUGUUCAUCCCUUGACGGUAUCUAACCAGAAAGCCACGGCUAACUACGUGCCAGCAGCCGCGGUAAUACGUAGGUGGCAAGCGUUGUCCGGAUUUAUUGGGCGUAAAGCGAGCGCAGGCGGUUUCUUAAGUCUGAUGUGAAAGCCCCCGGCUCAACCGGGGAGGGUCAUUGGAAACUGGGAGACUUGAGUGCAGAAGAGGAGAGUGGAAUUCCAUGUGUAGCGGUGAAAUGCGUAGAUAUAUGGAGGAACACCAGUGGCGAAGGCGGCUCUCUGGUCUGUAACUGACGCUGAGGCUCGAAAGCGUGGGGAGCAAACAGGAUUAGAUACCCUGGUAGUCCACGCCGUAAACGAUGAGUGCUAAGUGUUGGAGGGUUUCCGCCCUUCAGUGCUGCAGCUAACGCAUUAAGCACUCCGCCUGGGGAGUACGACCGCAAGGUUGAAACUCAAAGGAAUUGACGGGGGCCCGCACAAGCGGUGGAGCAUGUGGUUUAAUUCGAAGCAACGCGAAGAACCUUACCAGGUCUUGACAUCCUUUGACCACUCUAGAGAUAGAGCUUCCCCUUCGGGGGCAAAGUGACAGGUGGUGCAUGGUUGUCGUCAGCUCGUGUCGUGAGAUGUUGGGUUAAGUCCCGCAACGAGCGCAACCCUUAUUGUUAGUUGCCAUCAUUUAGUUGGGCACUCUAGCAAGACUGCCGGUGACAAACCGGAGGAAGGUGGGGAUGACGUCAAAUCAUCAUGCCCCUUAUGACCUGGGCUACACACGUGCUACAAUGGGAAGUACAACGAGUCGCAAAGUCGCGAGGCUAAGCUAAUCUCUUAAAGCUUCUCUCAGUUCGGAUUGUAGGCUGCAACUCGCCUACAUGAAGCCGGAAUCGCUAGUAAUCGCGGAUCAGCACGCCGCGGUGAAUACGUUCCCGGGCCUUGUACACACCGCCCGUCACACCACGAGAGUUUGUAACACCCGAAGUCGGUGAGGUAACCUUUUGGAGCCAGCCGCCUAAGGUGGGAUAGAUGAUUGGGGUGAAGUCGUAACAAGGUAGCCGUAUCGGAAGGUGCGGCUGGAUCACCUCCUUUCUAAGGAA